UUUUAUGGAGAGUUUGAUCCUGGCUCAGAGUGAACGCUGGCGGCGUGCCUAAUACAUGCAAGUCGAACGAUGAAGCUUCUAGCUUGCUAGAGUGCUGAUUAGUGGCGCACGGGUGAGUAACGCAUAGGUCAUGUGCCUCUUAGUUUGGGAUAGCCAUUGGAAACGAUGAUUAAUACCAGAUACUCCCUACGGGGGAAAGAUUUAUCGCUAAGAGAUCAGCCUAUGUCCUAUCAGCUUGUUGGUAAGGUAAUGGCUUACCAAGGCUAUGACGGGUAUCCGGCCUGAGAGGGUGAACGGACACACUGGAACUGAGACACGGUCCAGACUCCUACGGGAGGCAGCAGUAGGGAAUAUUGCUCAAUGGGGGAAACCCUGAAGCAGCAACGCCGCGUGGAGGAUGAAGGUUUUAGGAUUGUAAACUCCUUUUGUUAGAGAAGAUAAUGACGGUAUCUAACGAAUAAGCACCGGCUAACUCCGUGCCAGCAGCCGCGGUAAUACGGAGGGUGCAAGCGUUACUCGGAAUCACUGGGCGUAAAGAGCGCGUAGGCGGGAUAGUCAGUCAGGUGUGAAAUCCUAUGGCUUAACCAUAGAACUGCAUUUGAAACUACUAUUCUAGAGUGUGGGAGAGGUAGGUGGAAUUCUUGGUGUAGGGGUAAAAUCCGUAGAGAUCAAGAGGAAUACUCAUUGCGAAGGCGACCUGCUGGAACAUUACUGACGCUGAUUGCGCGAAAGCGUGGGGAGCAAACAGGAUUAGAUACCCUGGUAGUCCACGCCCUAAACGAUGGAUGCUAGUUGUUGGAGGGCUUAGUCUCUCCAGUAAUGCAGCUAACGCAUUAAGCAUCCCGCCUGGGGAGUACGGUCGCAAGAUUAAAACUCAAAGGAAUAGACGGGGACCCGCACAAGCGGUGGAGCAUGUGGUUUAAUUCGAAGAUACACGAAGAACCUUACCUAGGCUUGACAUUGAGAGAAUCCGCUAGAAAUAGUGGAGUGUCUGGCUUGCCAGACCUUGAAAACAGGUGCUGCACGGCUGUCGUCAGCUCGUGUCGUGAGAUGUUGGGUUAAGUCCCGCAACGAGCGCAACCCCCUUUCUUAGUUGCUAACAGGUCAUGCUGAGAACUCUAAGGAUACUGCCUCCGUAAGGAGGAGGAAGGUGGGGACGACGUCAAGUCAUCAUGGCCCUUACGCCUAGGGCUACACACGUGCUACAAUGGGGUGCACAAAGAGAAGCAAUACUGCGAAGUGGAGCCAAUCUUCAAAACACCUCUCAGUUCGGAUUGUAGGCUGCAACUCGCCUGCAUGAAGCUGGAAUCGCUAGUAAUCGCAAAUCAGCCAUGUUGCGGUGAAUACGUUCCCGGGUCUUGUACUCACCGCCCGUCACACCAUGGGAGUUGUGUUUGCCUUAAGUCAGGAUGCUAAAUUGGCUACUGCCCACGGCACACACAGCGACUGGGGUGAAGUCGUAACAAGGUAACCGUAGGUGAACCUGCGGUUGGAUCACCUCCUUUCUAGA
rnacentral:rRNA from 1 species